GUCGAGAAUUUUUCACAAUGGGCGAAAGCCUGAUGGAGCGACGCCGCGUGGGGGAUGAAUGGCUUCGGCCCGUAAACCCCUGUCAUUCGGGAUCAAUGCGUUCGGGUAAACAGCCCGGACGUUGAUAGUACCGGAAGAGGAAGGGACGGCUAACUCUGUGCCAGCAGCCGCGGUAAUACAGAGGUCCCAAGCGUUGUUCGGAUUCACUGGGCGUAAAGGGUGCGUAGGCGGUCGGGUAAGUCUGAUGUGAAAGCUCGGAGCUCAACUCCGAAACGGCAUUGGAUACUAUCUGGCUGGAGGUUGGGAGGGGGGACUGGAAUUCUCGGUGUAGCAGUGAAAUGCGUAGAUAUCGAGAGGAACACCAGUGGCGAAGGCGAGUCCCUGGACCAAUCCUGACGCUGAGGCACGAAAGCCAGGGGAGCAAACGGGAUUAGAUACCCGAGUAGUCC
rnacentral:rRNA from 1 species